rnacentral:rRNA from 1 species
UACGUAGGGGGCUAGCGUUGUCCGGAAUCAUUGGGCAUAAAGCGCGUGUAGGCGGUCCGGUAAGUCCGCUGUGAAAGUCGAGGGCUCAACCUCGAAUGCCGGUGGAUACUGUCGGGCUUGAGUACGGGAGAGGCGAGUGGAAUUCCUGGUGUAGCGGUGGAAUGCGCAGAUAUCAGGAAGAACACCAACGGCGAAGGCAGCUCGCUGGGACGGAACUGACGCUAAGGCGCGAAAGCGUGGGGAGCGAACAGG